GUACUUGUCAAGUUGAUGCAUGAGUCAAGAUGGGAUUGACCCCUCCGAAUUAGUAGGAGUUAAUGUAUCAAUGUAUUUCAAUUUAGUAAAUCUUGAGCCUGAAUAAUCCAGAUGAUGGAUUUGAAAGUUUAAAAUAUAAUAUGGAUGACUUAUCUAGGAUUAACAGUUAAAUCCUAGACCGUUCUCGAGUAUUAGGAUCAAAGGGAUGAAUUAUACGGUAAUCAUACGCCAAU
rnacentral:lncRNA from 1 species